UACGGGGGGAGCAAGCGUUGUUCGGAUUUACUGGGCGUAAAGGGCGCGUAGGCGGCGCAACAAGUCACUUGUGAAAUCUCCGGGCUUAACCCGGAGCGGCCAAGUGAUACUGUCGUGCUAGAGUGCGGAAGGGGCUACUGGAAUUCUCGGUGUAGCGGUGAAAUGCGUAGAUAUCGGGAGGAACACCGGCGGUGUAGACGGCUUACUGGACCAUUACUGACGCUGAGGCACGAAAGUGUGGGGAGCAAACAGG
rnacentral:rRNA from 1 species